rnacentral:rRNA from 1 species
GACGAACGCUGGCGGCGUGCUUAACACAUGCAAGUCGAACGGAAAGGCCCUGCUUGCAGGGUACUCGAGUGGCGAACGGGUGAGUAACACGUGGGUGAUCUGCCCUGCACUUCGGGAUAAGCCUGGGAAACUGGGUCUAAUACCGGAUAGGAGCCAUUUUUAGUGUGAUGGUUGGAAAGUUUUUUCGGUGUAGGAUGAGCUCGCGGCCUAUCAGCUUGUUGGUGGGGUAAUGGCCUACCAAGGCGGCGACGGGUAGCCGGCCUGAGAGGGUGGACGGCCACAUUGGGACUGAGAUACGGCCCAGACUCCUACGGGAGGCAGCAGUGGGGAAUAGUGCACAAUGGGCGCAAGCCUGAUGCAGCGACGCCGCGUGGGGGAUGACGGCCUUCGGGUUGUAAACUCCUUUCGCUAGGGACGAAGCUUUUUGUGACGGUACCUAGAUAAGAAGCACCGGCUAACUACGUGCCAGCCGCCGCGGUAA